rnacentral:rRNA from 1 species
CCGCGGUAAUACGGGGGGGGCAAGCGUUGUUCGGAAUUAUUGGGCGUAAAGCGCGUGUAGGCGGUAAGGUAAGUCAAACGUGAAAGUCAACGGCUCAACCGGGGAAUUGCGUUUGAUACUGUCUUACUGGAGUACGGGAGGGGAGAGCGGAAUUCCUAGUGUAGCAGUGAAAUGCGUAGAUAUUAGGAAGAACACCGGUGGCGAAGGCGGCUCUCUGGUCCGUUACUGACGCUGAGACGCGAAAGCCAGGGGAGCGAACGGG